rnacentral:rRNA from 1 species
AGUGAACGCUGGCGGUAGGCCUAACACAUGCAAGUCGAACGGCAGCACAGUAAGAGCUUGCUCUUACGGGUGGCGAGUGGCGGACGGGUGAGGAAUACAUCGGAAUCUACUUUUUCGUGGGGGAUAACGUAGGGAAACUUACGCUAAUACCGCAUACGACCUACGGGUGAAAGCAGGGGAUCUUCGGACCUUGCGCGAUUGAAUGAGCCGAUGUCGGAUUAGCUAGUUGGCGGGGUAAAGGCCCACCAAGGCGACGAUCCGUAGCUGGUCUGAGAGGAUGAUCAGCCACACUGGAACUGAGACACGGUCCAGACUCCUACGGGAGGCAGCAGUGGGGAAUAUUGGACAAUGGGCGCAAGCCUGAUCCAGACAUACCGCGUGGGUGAAGAAGGCCUUAGGGUUGUAAAGCCCUUUUGUUGGGAAAGAAAAGCAGCAGGUUAAUACCCCGCUGUUCUGACGGUACCCAAAGAAUAAGCACCGGCUAACUUCGUG